UGUAAGCGUAUACCAAAGUUGUUGCAGUUAAAACGCUCGUAGUCGGAAUUUGGCAGUUCCGGAUGUGUGCACGUCGUGUGCGCACUUCGCGGGGAUUGCUUUUGUGGUCUUGCGUAGGAUGAGGCACUUUUAUUAGUGAACGUCCUCACGCAACCACUUUUUACUGUGAGAAAAUCAGAGUGCUCAAAGCAGGCAUUUGCCGUGAACGUAUUAGCAUGGAAUAAUAGAAUAGGACUUGGUUCUAUUUUGUUGGUUUGUUGGGACUGAGUAAUGAUUAAGAGGGACAGUUGGGGGCAUUUGUAUUUCGGUGCUAGAGGUGAAAUUCUUAGAUUACCGAAAGACAAACUGCUGCGAAAGCGUCUGCCAAGGAUGUUUUCAUUGA
rnacentral:rRNA from 1 species